AUGGUGAUACAUUCACAUACAUUAGUUCAGAGCUCAACUCUACAGCAAGUAACCACUUCCUUUUUUGUGGCUCCUCCUCAGAUACCAAUAAAGCUGACAGUAAAGUUCAGGUCUGUUUCUCUCUGUCUGAUGAUCAUGAUGCUCACGAUAAACCAAGCAGCACUGCUCUUCGUUCAGCUGUUAGUGGUGUGGCAUGUCUUUGCAGAGAUCGCUAAAGACGACCACAGAGCUGUGCUGGUGUCCAGAGGAGACUCAGUGACACUGACUUGCAACAUAUCCAAGACAAAUGCAACACUGAUCACCUGGACCAACAACAGAUCUGUUUUUCAAUAUUCCAUUGUGCUGAAUCGCACCUAUUCAAAUUUCUCAUUUCAUAGACUGCAUUAAAAAAUUUUUAUCACGUUAAUUGUGAUGACGGUGUUAAUGCGUGUUAACGCUGACAGCCCUAAUAUAAGUAUGAAACAAAAAUAAAGUUCUGUGUUAUUUUUUGAUUAGAUGCUGGACCAGGACCCUGAACCAGGACCUGCAUGACAUCAGGACUUUGAGUUUUGUCCAGUAUCAUGUUCAGCUGAGAGGAAAGGUUAGAGGAACUUUAUUUUUUUUUCCACACAAAGAUUUUUAUUCUUCACAAAGUGUUUCAACUCAUAUCUUCUCUUACCUACCCUCAUGCUUGUUAUUUAACCUUUGUUCUCGUAAAAUAUAAGUUUAUUUACACUUUCGAUCCAUAGGUGAUCCCUCCACAACCUCAAAGUUUUGCAGUAUAAAGGCCAGGCAGCACAUUCAGAAACUCAUUUUUAUCUGGGGCUUCUAGUGUGCUGCCAAGAAGACAGUCGAGAUAAAAGAUGAAUAGGAAACAAGGUACAGACUGGAAGGAGAGCUCAAGUGAAAGAUCACAUUGUUUUCUGUUUUCUUGGAAACGUACUUUACUUUUUUAUCUGUACGUGUACAAUUUUGUGUAAAAAUAUUAAUUUUGACUGUUUUUUAUAUUUUGCUUGUUUCUUCUGUUUCUACAUUUACAUUACAUUAUUACAUUAUUUUCGUCAUAAAUGUAUUAAGUUAGGCCUUUUGCACCUGAUUAUUUUCAUAAAGCUGAAGUUGGAUAUAUGUAAAUUUUUUAAUAAGCAUAAUAAGCAUCCAGCAUAAAACUAAACUCAUUCAGAUUAUGUCUGUUGUACAAAUAUCUCCAGGUAACUUGUUGGUGAUUUUCAAACAGAUCUGGACUGACAUUUGUGCUGCUACAACUUUCAUUUUCUGUAUCUGCAAAUAAUAUCUGAACAUUUGACUUUUUGGUUAUUUAUCUGACACUGUUGUCUCACAGCAAGAAGGUCCUGGGUUUGAAUCCACCAUCGAGCUGGGACUUCUCUGUGUAGAGUUUGCAUGUACUCUCCGAGUACUCUGACUUCCUCCCAUAAUUCAAAGACAUGUCGUUAGUCACGUUACGUUAAUUGGUAAUUCUAAAUUCCCCUUCAGUGUGUCUUCAGGCUCCAGACAUGUGUCAUGCUUUUUGCACCCUUCAUUUGAACUUAACUACUUUUGUUUUGAAUAUGGCUGCUGAGAAUUUAGCCAACAAUAAAAGUGAAAAACAUGAUUCUGGAAGUUGUGUCCAAAAUGUUCAUGAUACUGAAUGUGAAAUUCAAUGUCCACUUUGAAGACAUUUCAUUCAAAUUGCUAUUUUAACAGCUAGCUGCUCACUGAGCAAGACGUUUUGUACUACUUAGUGAAUUUAGUCUUGUUCUUGGUUUUGUAGCGUAACUAGGCCAAGAACAAGAGUAUGUGGAUCUAUAGAUCCACAUAUGUUGUCACGGUAAUAUUUAGAGUUUGUUAAGAUUCACUAGUUCUCAUAUUAUAAUGGACCUGAAAGACUUGAAUAGAACUAAGAUGUCAUAUGUUUCCAUACAUAUCAACCAUAAUUCAUAUCCCCAAUUUGGUAAAUAAUGAAAUAGAGCAACAAACAAUAUAAACAUGAAGCACAAUAAUCAAAGUUGUGCUACAAAUUGAGCAACUCAAAAAAAUUAUUGCCAGUCACAAUUUUUUUAUAGAUGGGAAUGUCAAUAUGAGAGUAUACAACAUGUUGCACAACUGUAAAGUGUCAGCUAACAAUCUGAAUGUGGUGGGUAAAGCGUGCAGAUGUGGUUUUACUUCAGCUGAUAACUUUUCCUUCAUUCUGGUGCAUCUUAUAUUUAUGACAUGAGUGACUAAAUUACAAGAAGAAAUUAUUUGCAAUAUAAUUGUGUUCAGUUUCUUGAAUAAAUGUGUUUGAAUUAAGACAAUUUG
rnacentral:lncRNA from 1 species